CAGUGUUCCUGAUUAAGGUUAAGUCUUCUUGAAGAUUGGUGUACUGAACAAUUGCCUGGCUAACGCUUCCCUAACCCACGUCAAGCCACGAUCAUGUUUCAGACCUGAAACUAUGCGUCGGGAACCAAGAAGAGAGACAGACUUGAGAGUGAGGGACUAAAGAAGCAGACAGAUGCGAAAAUCUCUGCUCUAUGCAGCGUCCAGCCACUGUUUUUCCUCAGGCAUCCUUGGAGUCAUGCCUUGCACAUGCUCUAUUCCGGGGUCAACCAAGUAUUUAAGGGAAAUGGAAUAUCUCCUGGUGGAACAAUCAAAAUGAUCCUAAAGGCCAUGUCUUUGCAAAGCCAAAAUGAUCCGCAAAAACUUAAGCAUAUUGUCUCAAGUCCAGAAUCAAUCUCUCUGAAAAAAAAGAGGAAUUCGUGAUGGACUUUUUACCAGACGCUGCUGUGUUGUAUUCUAGCCAAAAGUGCCCCCAGGCCUUUGUUAAGUGGUUACAGUAUUUAAAGGUAAGUUCUAUAUGUUGGUUUCAAUCUCCUAGAAAUACACAAUGUCUAAGUGGAGCUAUUUUAUUUUGAUGGAAAAAAAUGAGAAUUUGUCAUUUGCAAGCUAAUUUGAGGUUUGGGCCAAACCAGUAGACUCUCACUUUGCUUUUCACCAAAUAAAAUUAGUUUUUGGCAACA
rnacentral:lncRNA from 1 species